CUGCUGUCUCCAAGGAGCUGUGGACCAGGAGGAUGGGUGAAGCCACCUGAGGGGAACCCCUGAAACUGAGAAAAGAUGAGGCCAGAGGCCUGGCACCCUGAACAGGAAGGGCUGAGUUGGAAAGCUCAAUGACAUUUCAGUCUCAGCACCUGUGUGUGAACACCUCUGCAACGCUGGCCCAGGUCAAGCUGGAUCCAGCACCUCUGAGUUUGGGGCUGACAUGGGGACGUGCAGAAUGAAGUGACACUGGCUGAAACAACAGAUGAGGAAGAGGAGCAGAAGUUACGGGAAGGGUCACUUUUCCCUCUGGAGAUAGUUCAAGAAGUGGAAAACUCCGUACAGAGGCGAAAACCAAGAAGGGGAGAGAGACCAAGAGAAAGCUGCCUAAUGAACAAAAAAGACCAGGAGAUAGCUGAGGAGAUAGCCAUGCUGCUGAAGAGAGCGUGAGGGGGAGUUAUUGACACAGAGGGCAUGCUGCUAAAAAUUAAAUCUAUCCCUUCCUCAGCCAGUGUUGACAAAAGAGGAUGGUAGGAGAUAUCACCACCAGACACAUGCAUCCCAGGAGAGGAUCAGACACUGGCGGAUAUUGGGCAUCGUACUGGUGCAAGAAAUCAGCCUCUCUGUGGGUCUGGGCAGGCUGUGCCCUGGAUGUCUGUGGGAAAUAAAUUCAAACCCUCAUUGGAAAUAGGGGGAAUCCUGUAGGCUAGAGGGCUCUCAGUGAAGCACCAGCACCUCCAGGCACCAGGCAGGAUCCAGGAGCCCUUCAGGCCCUUGUAGGCACCCCAUGAGUGCUAGGGAAAGUGCAGGGCCACAUGAUCAGGUGGGGAAACUCCACACCAGUUGUGCAUGAAACAGUGUUAUAACAAGAGUGGUGCUGGAGUAAACUGCACCUGAACAUGAGCUCCGCUGGCAGGGCUUCAAAACUCUCAAAAACUCAGUGCGCCCAGAAACGAGGUGUAGAAGAUGAGAGACUGAACUCCUCAGCAAGGGGGUGGGUGGGGGCUUGUGUCCGUCAGGCUCAGCGCAAGGAUGCUGCAACCUCCGUGAGCCCUCACUGCAAUACCAGCACUUACCGCCCAGAGAGCCGAGCCAGCCCGCAGCAGCUGGCCACGGAGAGAGGUAGCGGCGGCUGCUGCAGGGCUCGGAGUCUGGACAUCCCUGUGUCACUCCCGUGUCGGUGCCCGGGAGCACAGCAACGCUGGGGUGUUUCCUACAGCACGGCAGUGCGAGGGAGGACGUGUUCACAGGGACAGAGCAGCAGAGAGAGGAAAGGGAGACAACUUAGGAAAUACUGCCGAGGACUGAUGCCGCUGCUCCGUCCUCACCGGGCAGGGAGGGGAUGACCGGGCACCCAGCACGUGGGGGACACCAUCGCACCGGCACCGAGAAGCAGCAAAAUAAAGUCCCUCUGGUGAAAUGUAUAAAGCAAGGGCGGUCUGAGCUCAGUAUUAUCUCCAGGAGAGAAAAAAGGGUCCUAGACCACCUCUGGAUCCACCCAGGGUGCCAGGCAGGUGUUUGCAGCUGCGAUGUUAUGAGUGGAUGGGAGCCGAGAGGAAAGAGGACAGAGCGGAGGAGCCAGCAGCUCUGUGCCUUGACCAUCGCUGACAGUGGAGCAGCUUUACGGGUGCCGUCACCCACUCCUGGGCACGGCGUGAGCCGGCUUGCCAAGCCUGCCACCCGCUGCGUUGCUAAGGCUGAAGGAACAGGAGGAAAUUACAAGCUGCUGUCUGAGAAUGAGGCCAGAUUUGGCGAGGGACCGGGCAUUUAUACAGAUUACGGGCAUAGGCAGAGUUUCAGCAGUUGAUGCUAAAGAAGUUCUGGAAGGGAGAGACUCGGGGUUUAAGCUCAUCUUGAGCUAGCUGGGGUUAGAAGGAGACUU